ensembl:lncRNA
GAGUUUCAGCUGAGGAUGGUUGGGAUGGGAUAAGACAGAUGCUGAGGAAGGAGGCUGUUCUAGAUUUGAUGAAUGAAGGACUGCUGCUGCUGCUAAGUCACUUCAGUCGUGUCCGACUCUGUGCGACCCCAUAGACGGCAGCCCACCAGGCUUCCCCGUCCCUGGGAUUCUCCAGGCAAGAACACUGGAGUGGGUUGCCAUGUCCUUCUCCAAUGCAUGAAAGUGAAAAGUGAAAGUGAAGUCGCUCAGUUGUGUGCGACCCUCAGCGACCCCAUGGACUGCAGCCUUCCAGGCUCCUCCAUCCAUGGGAUUUUCCAGGCAAGAGUUCUGGAGUGGGGUGCCAUUGCUUUCUCUGGAAUGAAGGACUAAUGAAAAUCAAAUGACCAAAUGCAUGAAUAAGCACUUAGAAUAGGAAUCAACAGGAUAAAGGUGGGAGACUCAUGCCCAGUGGAGAAGAGAAUCUCUGGUGGGAGAGAAAUUUGAUAGAUGAUGUAGCUUUUGCUCCUCUCUUGUGCCAGGCCCUGGGAGAGAAACAUACGGGGAGGUUAUUAGUCUACUACUACUACUACUAAGCUGCUUCAGUCGUGUCUGACUCUGUGCGACCCCAUAGACAGCAGCUCACCAGGCUCUGCCAUCCCUGGGAUUCUCCAGGCAAGAACACUGGAGUGGGUUGCUAUUUCCUUCUCCAAUGCAUGAAAGUGAAAAGUGAAAGUGAAGUCGCUCAUUCGUGUCCAACUCUUCUCGACCCCAUGGACUGCAGCCUACCAGGCUUCCCCGUACAUGGGAUUUUCCAGAUGCUGUGGGAGCCCUUCUAGGGAAGAAGAGCCAGAAACGUGCUUUGAAACAUGGGAAGGGAACCACCCAUUGCUCAAGAAGGUGUGUUGGUUCUCCUGGAAUCCCCAACCAGGCUCCUCUCAGAAGGAGCAAAAUGAUUAUUUACCUGCAUCUAUAUGGUUCUGAAGCUAUGAUACUUUGUAUUGGCCACCUGAUGCAAAGAGCUUGCUCAUUAGAAAAGACCCUGAUGCUGGGAAAGAUUGAAGGCAGGACGAGAAGGGGACGACAAAGGAUGAGAUGGUUGGAUGGCAUCACCAACUAGAUAGACAUGAACUUGAGCACACUCUGGGAGUUGGUAAUGGACAGGGAAGCCUGGAAUGCUGCAGUCCAUGAGGUCACAGAGUCAGACACGAAUGAAUGAAAGAACUGAACUGAUACGGUUUUGAAAAAACAGAUACUAAUUAUUAAUUCACUGGGGAAAAUUUGACAUCUCACAUUAACUUUUUUGGGUUUAAGAGUUAAAAACUGAUUUUCAAAAGGUUAACUUAUGAAAACCUCAGCCCAUACACACUUGCUCAGUUAGCCUUUGUAAGGUUCCGUCAGAUGGCACUAGGUCCACUGGCCAUCAGUGGAGGUAGGCGUGGAAGAAAGGAGUUUUGGACCUUGAAUGUAGGGAUCCAGAGGGCACUGAGCAGGUAGACUUUCAGAGAAGUGGACCAAAGCACCUGCUUCACCACCGUCUUAGCCCUGGAGGUAGACAACCCUCGCCCAAAUUCUCAGUGCUUCUGUUUCAUUCCACACUUCCCUGUUUAUUUAAUUUCACUGGCUUUUAGUCAGAAAUUGACUGUGUAAAAUAUUUGGCAUAGAAAGUAAAGUGAAACACUGAAAAUCCAAGGCAACAGGAUAUAAACAGUGAACACAAUAUCCUUGGCCAGUGACUUCUUGUUUCCUCUCCUUAGCAGUGCUGUGGAUUCUCAGCACACUCUGAGAGACCUGAGUGAGCCCUGCUUGUGGUCUGUGAACCUUAUAGGACUCACAGUCCUCUAUUUGCAGGAUCCUUGUUACCAAGGAAAUGGAAACUGGGCCAAAAAUAGAAAUGAUGCCCAUUUGCAAAAUCCUAAAGGAAACAUAGAAACUGGCAACAAUGGGCAAGCCACUCUUGUGGGUUCUUAUUUCUCAGAUAAACAUGCCUUAAUUUAAGAAUCACCCUUGUUAU